rnacentral:rRNA from 1 species
UACAGAGGUCCCAAGCGUUGUUCGGAUUCACUGGGCGUAAAGAGCUCGUAGGUGGUUCGGUAAGUCGGAUGUGAAAUCUCCAGGCUCAACCUGGAGGGGUCAUUCGAUACUGCCGUGACUAGAGGUCGGUAGGGGAGUGUGGAAUUCCUGGUGGAGCGGUGAAAUGCGCAGAUAUCAGGAGGAACACCCGUAGCGAAGGCGGCACUCUGGGCCGAUACUGACACUGAGGAGCGAAAGCGUGGGGAGCGAACAGG